GCUUUGCUUGUGGUUGGCAUACCACCUAGGUAAUCAUCCUCUAACUCCAUGUAGUCUGGAAGCCCUGUCGUUUCUUUUGACAGACAUUUGGCUGAAGUCCUCCUUAAGAGGCAAUGACUGUGAUUGUUUAUAUUUGUGUCAUGUACUUGAAGUCCUCCUAAGUGAAGAGACAAUUGGCAGAUAGAAGGGACUAGCAGUCAGUCCCCUGCUAAUCGUUUGAGUCGUUCAUUAUGCUCGCACUACGUGCUGAGGCUCUUGAAC
rnacentral:lncRNA from 1 species